ensembl:lncRNA
CCUUCCCAAGCGCACCCAGCCUCCCAGACGAGCUCUUGGCAGCCACGGGUGUCCCAGACACGAAGGCGCUUUCCCAGGAGCCGCUGCCGUCCACAGGUUGGACCCUGCCCUCCCAGGUGCACCCAGCUUCCUAGAUGAGCUCAUCGCCGACACGGGCAUCACGGACAUGAAGGGCCCGUCACCACAGGAUCUCAAAGGAGGAAGCUCCUUCUGAAGCUGAGCCAGAAGGACGCCCUGCAAGCGCUCUUUCAAGCGAAACCCUACCCUCGGAUCGCGACCAGAGAACGGCUGCCCUGGGAGCUUUGCAUUGCCCAAAGCAGAGUUCAGUCUGGUUUCAAAAUCAACGCAGAAGACAGUUAAAGCAGAGCCGAUCGCCGUCUGAAUAUGUGCACCAAGAAGGGGAAGCGGGGCCAACGUCCACGCCCAUGCCACUGACACCCUCUCCUUGACCUCAGUCUUCCUCUCCAGGAGACUCGGCCAGAGAGGCCCGGAGAAAGAGGGCAGUAAUCUCUCUUUCUCAAACAAGGAUCCAUGUGCAAGCCUUCACAGGAGAUCUCUUCCUGGGGAUUGCCGCCAGGGAAGAACUGGCUCUUCAGAUGGGAAUCCCAGAACCUCGAAUCCAGGUAAGUUCUCCAGCCAGCGCAUGGGCCCAGGAGUCAGGAGGAUUGAGCCCUGCAGAGCGUUUGGAGCUGGAUACAAGUAGGCUUGGGCUGGGGAUGGGGCUGGGGUUUGAGGGGAGGGGCCAAAAGUCGGUGGGCUGAGUGAAGGGUUUGGGGCCGCUUGUGGCCAUGCGGGCACCCCCUCGUUUCCCAGGGCCAAGGGAUUCGUUAGCAGAAAACGGCCCUGCAGGAGCUGCCCUGGGCCUGAUAGACAAGAGACCGUGCGGCCAGGCUGGCUUUCGAAUUGGCACUGCGGAGGGGCCAGCACUUUUAUCUGGACGGUCACGACUUCUGAUGUGCCUGUCUGCCUUUUUGCUCCCCUAGAUAUGGUUUCAAAACCGAAGAGCUCAGCACCACCAGCAGGGCCCGAGCGGGCCUGGCAUGGCCAGGCCCAAGGGCCAGGCAGUGCAGCAGCCAUGACUACUCCUGCUCCAGAGGACCGAAGGGCCCACCCGCUGUCCAGAGCAUCUCUCCUCCCCUUCGCCCCUCCCCCGCCACAGGAGAGCAUACCACCCUUGGCGGCCGAAGCUGCUCCUUUUGGGGCCCCCACAUUCUGUGUGCACGGGACUGCCUCUGGGGUCUCUGUGGGCCAUCCGUUGAUGAUCUUCAUAGUCCAGCCCAGCCCAGUGGCUCUCCCGCCAUGCGGGAAGCCACCACCUCUUGCCCAGGUAGCAGUUCCCUGGGCUGCAUGCUCCCCUGCCAUCUUGGCCCCCCGGAAGCCUGGACAAGGGGCCAUCAUGCCUCCUGGACAGCCGGAGGCACACAUCCCGCGCUGGCCAGAGUCAUCCUACAGUGAAGGCACGGCCCCUCAGCUAGAGCCACAGACCCAGCCCCGCAGCCUUCCAAGCCCGACAAGCCUCCUAGACGAGCUCAUGGCCGACACGCGCAUUCCGACUUUGCCAGGACCUUUCCCUAGGGCCGCUGCUGACCAUGGGGUGGACCCUGCCCUCCCAGGCGCACCCAGCCUCCUAGACAAGCUCUUGGCGGCAAUGAGCAUCCCCGCAUCGCUGGGGCCUUCCCCGGGGGCCUCUGCAGUCACAGGGCAACAACAAGCUCUCGCUGGCACACCCAGCCUCUUAGAGCACUGUGGCUUUGCCGCCUUCAGUGGCUUCCUCUCCCCAGGGGCCUAGUGCCUUCUGCCACCAGUAUCCAAGCCACCCCAGGGCCUUCCCUCGGGCCCUGUGCUGAUGAACGGGUACAACUCGCCCUCCCAGGCUCACCGAGACUCCACACGAGUUCCUGGCUUCCCCGGGCAUCCCGGGCACACUGGGUGCUUUUCUGGGGUCCUUUUCAGUCAUCACAGGGGCCCACCCAGCCUUCCCUGGAUCACCCAGCUUCCUAGAGGAAAGCUUGGCUGCCACGGCCACGCGGGACACACCCUGGUCUUCUCCUGGGGCCCCUGCAGGGGACGAGGGAGUUGAGGCCAUCCUAGAAGCAUGCCUCAGUCAGGAGGAUUACCGGGCCCUCCUUGACAUGCUGCCAGGCUCCCCAGGUCCUCGGGCUUAGAGGGAGAGGAAGGAGGGCACCUUCUUCCCCUGUCCACGUUCAGGUCUCCUUGCCUGCGAUGCUUGGGGGAAGGGGAGGGGGCGGUUUUAUGUGUGGGAAGAGGAGAGAAUACCGACAGGAUGUCUACCAACAAUUCUGGGGACAAACCCGAGAGCUGGAUCUUUGGGAAGCUGGGCCGCACCCCCAAACAGGAACAUCCUACUUGAAGCCUCAAGUAAUCCCUGCAUGGCAGUGACUGAGAGGGUGCCACAGAGGGAACAUUCCAUGGACACAAGACAGAAACCCCGUGCCCCGCACAGGGAAAAGAGAAGUGUCUCUCAUCGUCCAUCCCCCAUGUUGCUUCGUUGGAUUAGUGGAACCUACUUCCCAACAGUAGGGGGUACACUGUCCCCUUUGGCAGGUAUCUCCAGGACACUUGGGCUGGGGGGUUGCCUGGGGAGGUGCGAGCCUCAGGCUCCACACUAGAAAAGUCCCAAAUGGCAUGAGCUGCCGGUCCAGAUGUUGGCCCUUCAGUUCUCUGGUCUGAGCCUUGGGCUCCAGGUAACUCAAAGCCCUCGGGGGUGGUGCUCUGGGAUUUCUGCAGUGAAAGGACACCAAGAGAGCAUAGAGGAGUUGGGGAGGGGCGGUGGGAAAUGGAGGUGAGGACAGGGAGGGAUCUAGGUGGAGGCACUGGAGAGAGUUUCCAGUGUCCAGGAAUGCCUUGGAGGAGCCAGCAGGGGGCAAUCGAGACCCAGGGACCUGUGGAAUGUGAAAAGUUGGGAAACCCCAGAGUGGUUUGGAAGGCAAGGCAGGCUGGGAAAGGGGGCGUGGGCGGCCACUUCAAAGGGACCUAGGGGCGUUCCCGGGCAGUUAGCUCUCUUGGCACUGCUGAGGGCCCCUGAUUGAUCCACCCGGGGUUGAUCCCACCCCCCCCCCCGCUGCGUGGGAGGGCCACAAACCAAAGCCCCCGAACUGCCUGUCCACCCCGAUGGGGACUUUGGCGGUCUGGGGCAUGGAAGCCCACUCGCUCCACGGGACUCUGUCCAGGGUGUCUGCCUGCAACGAGGCCAGGGGCAUCCCCUCCGUCUGUGCACCCAAACCCUGUUUACUUAAAUAGGGGCGGAGCCGCCUCCCACUCUCCAAAGUCCUGAGCUGCUGGGUCCCCGCCCACUAGGCCAGCAGUCUGCAGCGUCCAUGUGGCUCUCCCACCAUGGCUUCGUGCAGCUCCUCCAGCACCUCAAGCGAUAUGUUUGUGCUCGGUCCCUGGGAUCGGAUCACAUCUCUGGGGAUUUGCAGAUGACACGGCCCAGGGUGCUCAGAAAACGUGUCCACCCACCACCAAGAAUGGCGGGAACAGAUCGGCCGGGCCCAUGGUUCCCAGGCGUCAGCUGUGCCCAAAAGAGGCAUCGUUCGUUCAUCUUGCUCCUUUGGCACACAUAUGGCUUCUCCGUUCUCUUUUCUGGGAAGAUGGUGUUGUGUCAGGGGGCGGGGUGCGGGGUGCGGGGGGCUGGGGUUGGGGGUCGGGCGGGGUUGCUGUGCUGGGAUGAGGCCCUUUAUCCUCACAUCUUCCUUUGGGAGUGGGAGUCGGGGAGCGCUGUGGCUUUGCUGCCUUCAGUGGCUUCCUCUCCCCAGGGGCCUAGUGCCUUCUGCCUUCAGUCAGGCGUUGCGGGUUUAGGCUUCACUUCGGCUUCCUUCCCUUUCCUUUCCUUUUCCACUAGUGACGUCAAACAUGGCCCUGGCUCAUGUCAGCCCCAGGAAGCCAGGCUCCCUCCCACUGGCAUCAUCAUGGAGGGAAAUCUGGGAGCAGCCACAUUAAGACAUCUCCCUGGCAUUUCCCUCAGACGGGUGGAAACAUGUGGCGGGAUAGUGUGGUGGUCUUUGGCCCUGUCGCCACAGGAUCUCCAAGGAGGAGGCUCAUUCUGAAGCUCAGCCAGAAGGACACCCUGCAAGCGAUGUUUCAACAGAACCCCUCCUCUGGGAUAGCGAGCAGAGAAUGCCUGGCCUGAGACCUUGGCAUUGCCAAAAGCAGAGUUCAGGUCUGGUUCCAAAACCAGCGUAGAAGACAGUUAAAGCAGAGCCAAUCGCCGUCUGAAUAUGUGAACCAAGAAGGGGAAGGGGGCCAACGUCCACAACCACGCCACCGACGGCCCCUCCUCGACCUCGGUCUUCCUCUCCAGGAAACUCAGCAAGAGAGGCCUGGAGAAAGUGGACAGUCAUUCUCUCCUUCUCAAACAAGGUACCUUGUGCAAACCUUCACGAGGGAUCUCUUCCAGGGGAUUACCAACCGGAAAGAACUGGCUCGUCAUAUGGGAAUCCCAGAAACUCGAAUCCAGAUAUGGUUUCAAAACUGAAGAGCUUGGAACCCACAGCAGAGACAAAGCGGGCCCGGCAAUGGCUGGGCCCAAGGGCCAAGCAGCACAGCAGCCACGACUACUCCUGCUCCAGAGGACCGAAGGGCCCCACCCGCUGUUCAGAGCUCCUCUUCCCACUAUUAACCCUUCCCGCCAGAGGAGAGCAUUCCACAAUUGGAAGAGGCAAAAUUGAGACCCAGGGAUCCAGUGGUGAGGCGCAGUUGGCGAUGCCGCCCUGGACCUGCAGUGGCAGCAGUGGAGUGGAAGGCCCUGCCGGGGGAUCAAGCAGCUCGGGUCAGGCUCACUGCACUUCCCCUCCCGCCCUAAGCGAGAAGAAGUGAAAUGGGGUAAGGCCCCUGGCAGAGAUGGGAGCUGCACCCUGGUCUUUGGCACCAGGCUUCCUCAGCAUGAAGACUUUUGUCAAGCACCCAAACUGUCCAGGGAAAAAGAAAGGAGACCACGGUUCGAUGCCUGCGUUGGGAAGAUCCGCUGCCCAAGGGAGUAAGCUACCAUCUGGCCUGCAGAACUCGUCCACGGGGUCGCAAAGCGUCGGACAGAACUGUGUGCGCGUGCAUGCAUGUGUCCCAGGGAAUCGCAAAGAAACCAAGGAACCACAGCGCCACCUACACAGCCAUCCGUAGCAAUGGAUUCUUUGGCCAGCCAGGUUUCUAACCCCAACCACGGGGUUUCACGGGAGAAAAGUCAGGGGUCUGUAUGUACUUCAAAACGGCCGGGUUGACGAAUUCCAGAUCGGGUUUGCAAGUUGAUGAUGUCUGUAUUCUUAGCUCUUGGUGGAUGCCUAGAUGUCUCCCGGUUGGUUGAGGGCCCCAGUGUCCCAGCGCCACCCACCAGCAGCACCGUGGUCAUUCUGCAGCGACCCAAGGGUCGGUGAGUGAAUGGGUGCCCCCGCUAGGCUGCACCCAUGCGCCCUCCUUCUCUUUCUGCUAAGACACAUGGUUCCUCUGAGCUCGACCAGGCUGGCUUGAGAUGCUGAGAGGCGACGGGAGGGAGGAAGGGCCGGACUGCCGGCUGAGGGCUUCAGCAGGGAGGGGGUGCUGGCAACAAAGAGCCCUCCUCUCCCUGCCCCCGCUGGAUGUGCUCGAGAAGCUAGGGGGCUGACGUGAGGCCAGCAGCGAUGUGGAGCCUGUGCGCCUGGCAAGCCCGCCCGGGGCUCCUUCUUCCUGGGGCCCGGGCGCGCCAGGACCCCUUGGUCUGGCAGAAUGGCGCAGGGCUGCUGACAUCUGGUGAGACAGGGUUCCCCUCCUGCACGCCAGGGCGAGACAGUAGCAAGCGGAAGGGCAAGGGUGUGAGCAGCCAGGCCGCGUCACCGGAGGGCCGCUGUGGCGGGGAGGUGUUCCACACUGACAGGCACCCUGGCGAGACCGGCAAGACCCAGGCUCCGGUGGGCCGGACCCUUGGCCAGGGCGUGGCAGGAAGAAACCUUCAGCGGGAGAGGCGGGCACACCCUGGCUACAUCCCAGUGGGAAGUUAAAUGAGCAUGGGAGCCCGGGACAAGAGGCCAGAGUCCUUGCUGGGGAAAGAGCAAAGGGAAGGGAGUCAAGCCAUGUCUGUGCCAGAACGGGCCUUUCCAGCCUGGACCCGGGCCACUGCGGCGGACGUGUGGGGGUGGUGGGAGACGAGCUGGGAGCCACGGGAGAGCCCCAGCCCGCUGCUGCAGGAGAGCCCAGAGGAGACUCCCCGCAAGAGGCGCGGGAGGUCUGCCAGGGCCCCGGCGGUGGGCUGGGCUCUGCCUCCAGCCGGCGCCUCGGAGGAGUGCAGGGGGCCCCAUGGGUCUCCCAGGUGCCUGCGCCCCAGCUCUGGGGAGACCCUGCCAAAGAGACGGAGAAGGUGUGCCAGAGGCCCAUCGGCAGCAGCGAGCGAGGCGGCAGCGGUGGCGGGCUGGGCCCCUCCUCCCACCGGCCCUUCGGAGAGGGGCGAGGAGACCAGGAGCUGGGGGCGUCGGGGGGGGACUCGCUAGGUUCAGGUCCCCAAUCCAGGGAACCUUCUCCCAAAGAGACG